rnacentral:rRNA from 1 species
GGCAUGGUUAAAGCAUGCAAGUCGCACGAGAACCCUUCGGGGGGAAAGUGGCGAAAGGGCGAGUAAUGCGAUCGAACGUACCCUGAGGUGGGGAAUAGCGUCGGGAAACCGGCAGUAAUGCCCCAUGUGCUUUACGGAGGAAAGCUUUGGCGCCUCAGGAGCGGCGAUCGUCCUAUCAGGUAGUUGGUGAGGUAACGGCUCACCAAGCCGAAGACGGGUAGCGGGUGUGAGAGCAUGACCCGCCGCAUCGGAACUGAGACACUGUCCGGGCUCCUACGGGAGGCUGCAGCGACGAAUCUUCCGCAAUGGGCGAAAGCCUGACGGAGCAAUGCCGCGUGUGGGAUGAAGCAUCUUCGAUGUGUAAACCACUGUCAGAUUCUAGGACCAACGACCAGAAUCAAAGGAAGGGCCGGCUAACCUCGUGCCAGCAGCCGCGGUAAUACGAGGGGCCCAAGCGUUAAUCGGAAUCACUGGGCUUAAAGCGUGCGCAGGCGGCCUUGCAAGCAUCUCGUGAAAUCCCACGGCUCAACCGUGGAACUGCGGGGUGAACUGCAAGGCUUGAGGCAGGUAGGGGCUGAUGGAACCAUGAGUGGAGCGGUGAAAUGCGUAGAUAUUCAUGGGAACGCCGAUGGGGAAGCCGAUCAGCUGGGCCUGUCCUGACGCUCAGGCACGAAAGCGUGGGGAGCAAACAGGAUUAGAUACCCUGGUAGUCCACGCCGUAAACGAUGCACACUAGAUCGGGGCCGUUCUGACACGGUCCCGGUCGAAGGAAAACUGUUAAGUGUGCCGCCUGGGGAGUACGGUCGCAAGGCUAAAACUCAAAGGAAUUGACGGGGGCUCACACAAGCGGUGGAGCAUGUUGCUUAAUUCGAGGCAACGCGAAGAACCUUAUCCUAGGCUUGACAUGUAUGGAUUAGUAUAUGGAAACAUAUAUGACGCCCUUGGGUGGAACAUACACAGGUGCUGCAUGGCUGUCGUCAGCUCGUGCUGUGAAGUGUCGGGUUAAGUCCCUUAACGAGCGCAACCCCUAUCGUUAGUUGCUAUCGCGUCAUGGCGAGUACUCUAGCGAGACUGCCGGUGUCAAACCGGAGGAAGGUGGGGAUGACGUCAAGUCCUCAUGGCCUUUAUGUCUAGGGCUGCAAACGUGCUACAAUGGCAUGGACAGAGCGAGGCGAUCCUGCGAAGGGGAGCAAAUCGCAAAAACCAUGCCCCAGUUCGGAUAGCAGGCUGCAAUUCGCCUGCUUGAAGUUGGAAUCGCUAGUAAUCGCGGAUCAGCAACGCCGCGGUGAAUGUGUUCCUGAGCCUUGUACACACCGCCCGUCACGUCAUGGAAGCCGGGAGUGCCCGAAGUCACCUCGAUUCAGGGGUGCCUACGGCAAGUUCGGUGACUGGGACGGAGUCGUAACAAGGUA